GAGAGAUGGCUCAGAAAUGCUGCUUUGCAAGCGAGCUGGAAGUGCCUCAAUUCGGAUCACGGCAAUAAGCGGGCUCAAGGAGGCAGAAGACAUUUUAAUGCUGGGGUGGCUGUUUAAUACAGACAAAUCCUUCCCGGGUCACUUCUGAAGCCCUGUGUGCUCCGAGCACAGGCUCGCAAAGAAAAAAAAUGCAGUAGAUGAGCUGGGUUUCCCAGGAGAAAAGCCCGAAAGGGGAGAAGAGGAGCUCCGGCCGCUGCGCCGCACAGAGCCGCCUUUCAUUACAAAGGGCCGGGAAGCGGCUCGGAGCUGCCAGCAACACCGACACGAUGCAAGAGGGGAUUUUUCAGGCUGAUGCAGCAACAAAGGCAGUUAAAUCUAGCCAGGUAAGAGGCUUUCGAGGUUAGCUGGCCAUUCCCACAGCACAGGCUUCUUUUUCUUUUUUCUUUCUUUUUUUUUUUUCUCUUCUUUUUUUCCCUCCUUUUCUAGGGGGAAUUAUUUUUGGUAAUCCGUGCGUUGCUGCUCGUUGGGCACUGGAGCAGAAGUAAGCAGGUAAGUGGCGCUUUCAUCCCCAGCCUGGCUUCCUACCGUGGCCAGGACUCCAGCGAGGGGCUUUGAGCCUCAAAGGGAAGCGGCAAGGCUGGGCCAAGGCAGCUGGAGCGGCGCUAAGCUCGUGGCAGCUGGGAAUUGUUUAUUUUUUUUUGGUUGAAGUGAUGGCAGCGGAAAGCUACCUGGAGAUGAGCAGCUUUCACACCAAAUGCCUGCUGCACGGGUGGAGGCUGGGUGGGAGGCACCGGGCAUCGCUGGGUGGUUUGGGGUGCUGGCAUACGCCUGGAGGCAGAGCUAGGUGCACCCACCACCUCCUCCUGCCUGGAAAGGUUGGGGGGACGGGGGCACCCCCAGCACCGGGGGGGGGCAGAGAGGUGACCUUGCAGUGUAAGCUGGGCCUGGGUGCUGCUUUGGGUGGCACCCACUGCCCGGCCCCUCCUGGCAGGGCAUAGGGGUGCUGAGAGUGGGAAAGCCACCCAUGACACCCACGUCCAUCAGCCCCCAGGGAGCCCAGCACCCUUGCGUGGGGAGAGGCAGGUGCUGUGAUCCUAGGGCAGGAGGGUGCUCCCAUCGCUGGCUCUGCAGGGAGCCCAGGCAGUUCAGGCAUCUCAGUGCAGUAUUUUGGGGAUGGAGCAGGAUGGAGCCCAGACCUUGAAGCCUGUUGGAGGCCACGAGGGUGUUUCCGAAGGGAUCUGUGUCCCUGAGGACCUGGACGCCAGCCCUGGUCCUCCCUGGGGAGCCACCCUGGGCCAGGGUGGGCUUUGCCCUGGGCGGCUGCCUUCCCACGGUUCGGCCGGGUGGAGGAUGCGCCAACAGCCCGUGACUCAACAUCUUCACCCGGUGCUUCGCAUCAGCAGAGCUCUUCAUCUUGUCCUCCUGGUGAAAGCUUCUCAGACAUCACCCCGCCAAGCCCAGAAGACCCCGCGUUGAUCCAGCCGGUGCAACGAUGCCGUUGCACGGAGUCCAUCCAUCCUCUCGUGAUGCCUUUUGCAUCACCCCAGGCCACGGGCCGUGCCGGUGCCAUGCAGUGCCGGUUGCUUCCUGCAGCCACGUGCCAGCACCCUGCUCCGGUUAACGGUGCAACGAGAGCACCCCACCACGCCGAGCUGCCCGGCACCCUGCCCGGGGACCUCAUGCUCUGUCUCAGCGUGGGGUGAAGGCAACGGAGGAUCCUUCUUCCUCCCCAUCCUCCUCCUCCUCCUCCUCUCCCCCCACCCAGCCAGCAUCCGCCACCGCAACAAGAUUAAACCAAUUGCACUGUUA